UUAUAUUUCGCAUUUCUAAAAACUCAUUAUAAAAAUUUAAAUUAUAUAACUUCUACACAUAGCUUUUUAUAUUAUUUAGGGAAAACUUUAAAAACCCCCCCUGUGGUUUCAUAGUUUCUCACUUUGCCCCCCCGUGGUUUAAAAUGUAUCAAAUUGUUUCCCUGUGGUUUUAUUUUUAUCUUUUCGAUAGCUUUUUCGUUAAUAUUUUAUUAAAUUAUAUAUAAAAAACUUCAGAUACCCAUCUAGAUUUAUCAAAUAUUCACUUUAGUACCAUUUAAUUUUAACUUUAUCACUGAUUUAAGAAAAAAAAUAAUGAAAUUGAUAUGAAAAAGAGAAAAAAAAAAUCACAGGUGGGCAAAUUGAUACAUUUUAAACCACAGGGGGGCAAAGUGAGAAACUACGAAAUCACAAAGGGGGUUUUUGAAGUUUUUCCUAUUAUUUAUAUUUUAUGUAUUAAAUAUAAAAUUUAAUUUUAUAAUAUUCAUAAGUUAAAAAUAAAUUGUACAGUAAAAGAUAAGAAAGAGAUUGAUGGAGAAUAAAAGCGAGAGAAGAAUAGUAUAGGAAAAAAAAAAAAGUGGGUCUCACCGCACCCUCUCCACCGGGAUCAACGUAGAGAAUGGGGGAGAGAGAAGAAUUGAAAUGGACAAAAAAAAAAAAGUGGGCCCCAUCCUAACCUGUUUUGCACAACUUAACAUGAGAGCGUCACGUUCGAUUUCCACUGAAGUUUUUAUAUAUAGAAAAUAUAUAAAAUAUGUAGAUUUUUUGAGGAAAAUACUAAAUCUACAACUUAAAAGAAUUAUAAUCUCUACAAUUUCUUAUCCAAUAGUCCUUCCAUCUUAUCUAACUUUUUCUAGUCCUUAGUAGCAAGAUUUGUAGGAAAAAAAUGUCUUUUGUAUUAGUAAAGUGGUAAGAUUACAACUGAAUGGGUUGAAUGUACGGAGACAUCCUGACUUAAAAGUAAAUUCUAAGAUUGCUUCUAAAUUUUUGUUUUUUUGUGUUGAGAACCAUUCCGCUUUUGAUUUACUCUAAAAUUAAUGGCAUAUUUGUUUCACCGAAACUGGACUUUGGGUUGAAGUGGACUUUGAGUUGAACUGGAGUUCGGUGAAAACUAGUUCUUUUCCAUUGUUUGUUUAGUAGUUAUGGAAGUGAAGUUCCAUCAGUUCUGCUAUUUGUUUGGUACGAAAAGUAUAAUAUAAAACUAUAAUUUAUAUAUAAAUAAUAAAUAUUUCAAUAAAUAAAAAUAAUAUAAUUAUAUUUUUAUAUAAUUAAAAUUUAAUUUAAAACAACUAAAUUAUGGUAAUACAAUAAUAAAAUUAUAAAGUAAAAAAUAUUAAUACUUAAUUAAUCAAUUUUUAUCAUAUUUUAAAUGUAAAAACUAAAUAAAAAAUAUUAAAACUUAACUAAUCAUUUUUAUCAUAUUUUAGAUAUAUUAACUGAAUAAAAAAAUAAUUAGUAAUAUAAUUAAAUAUAUUUAAAUAUAACUAGUUUUAUCUAUUAUAUUAUUUUAUUUUAUUUUUUACCUCUUUUCACCGUAUUUGACUUCGGCCCACGAUGGGACGAAGUCAAUUACGUCGUUUGAGAUUAACUCGAGUUUCGACCGUAACUUUUUGACGGCGAACCAAACAACGGAAGUGGUUAUUUAGGGCUUGUUUGGUUCAUCCAUUUUGGGUAUGGAAUGAGAAUCGGUUUGAUCAAAUCCGGUUAAUUUUGUUUGGUUCGCAUGAAUCUGUUUGGGAUUCCUAUUCCGGACUGGAAUGGGAAUGGCCCAUUAACCUUUAACUUGAUUCCGGUCUUCUAGCCCGGAUUGAGAUUUCAUUCCGAAAGCCCACUAAGUUCUCGAAGCCCACGUGACCAUCUCACCCUCCUUCUCUUCACCCCUUUCUCAUUAAAAAAAAAAUAAAAAACUAUCCUCUCUCAAAACCCUAUCCCUAACCCACAUCAAUAAAAAUUUUUAAAAAUAAAUUUGAUAUUUUUUUUAAAAACUUAUUAGAGAAUAGUAUUAUAUUUUUCAUAAAUUUUAAAUAAUAUUUAUAUUUGAAAGUAAAAUUAGUAUUAUAGUAUUCUAUAAUUUUUUUAGUUUAUACGAACCAAACAAUGAAAUGUGAAUAACUCAUUCCAAUUCCCAAUCCACAAAUAAACCAAAGUCUUGGAGGAGUGGGCCAUUCCAAUUACCAUUCCAAUUCAUUCCCAUUCCAUUAUCAAUUCCAAUUCUACCCUUACCAAACAAGCCUUUAGGGCGAAAACGACUUCCCUCCUCUUCACUUCCACCCUACUUCCACCUGAACAAACAUGCCCUAAGUGAUUUUAGUAAGAAAAAUAAAAGAUU
rnacentral:lncRNA from 1 species